UGCGCGGGGCACACGCAGCUGAGAGUGCAGGCCGUGGCGCAUGCGCGCUGCAGGGAAGGCGCCUCCCGGAACAAGCGGCCCGGGCAGAGUGCGGGAAGGUAGCGCGCCGAGUCGGGAGGCGCUGGCAGCGGGGACCGCAUCCGGAUACCAGCUUUAGAAUUGCAACCUUGCCAAUGGACCUGAUUGGUUUUGGUUAUGCGGCCCUUGUGACUUUUGGAAGCAUUUUGGGAUAUAAGCGGAGAGGUGGUGUUCCAUCUUUGAUCGCUGGUCUUUUUGUUGGAUUUUUGGCUGGCUAUGGAGCUUACCGAGUCUCAAAUGACAAGCGAGAUGUAAAACUGUCACUGUUUACAGCUUUCUUCCUGGCCACCAUAAUGGGCGUGAGGUAUAAGAGAUCCAAGAAAAUCAUGCCAGCUGGUCUGGUUGCAGGUUUAAGGCUUCAAGAUCUCAGAGCGUGAAGCCCAACCUCCAAUUCCAACCAGGGCGUUACCAGGUUAAUCCAUGAGAGCAACUUGGGGAGAGGGCAGCAUCCGGGAGCCCAUCGUCUGGGUAUGGCCAUGAAGAGAAUGGAAUACAGUGAAAUUCCUCAGACUGCAUACUAUCCGAGGAAUUUUCUACCAAGAGCAACCGGAUGGACUCCAUUCUGCCUUGGCCAUUGAAGUAGUGAAGCUUGGGCUUCCCCGCCAUGCUUAAGGACUCCUGCAAAUCAACAGAGAGAGACUGAUGAAGACUGUUCUGCACACAGAGCAGGAGAGGAAUCCGCAUGAAGAGAGCAAUGCAAAGUUAACCAGAAAGCUCAGGGCCUGUGCCCAAAAUCAGAGCUGCUCCUCAGCUCCAAGGCUUCCUGUGUUCUGUGCUCUUCCUCACAAAUGGAGUUUAUCGCCACAAAUUGAUGUUCUCAAAACUUAAUUGAAUCACUGAUACAUUUUUUAAAAUAGAAAGAGGACAAGUGAGGAAGCCAGACAGAUGGAAGGAAUUUGAAAAUAAGACUCUGACCAGUUCUUCCUCCGGUAGCAGGUGGCGAGGUGUUAGCAUUGCAAUGUUUUUUUCUUUUUUCUAUCCAGGUCCUCCUCCCUCCUCCUACCGGCACAGCCCAGACUGGCUAAAUGGGGCGAGAUUAGGGGAGGCUGAUGCUUUUCACUUUCCAAAUUAAUUUCAGUACUUUAAUUCUGGCGACCUCUGAAGCCUGGAGACAGCAAUCAAGGGGAUUUUCAAUGACUCAUUAGGAUUUAAAGCAAAAGUGCAAAGUUAAGCAAAGUGGGUCUUUUCACACUUUCUUUUUCCUCUGAAAAUGGAAAUAUCUUUUUUAGAAACAUAACCUUUGCUCACCUUGAAGAAAUUAAAGUAUUAUAGAAAUCAAAAGCCCAUCCUGUGUGACCCCAAGAUAGCAUCUGAGGUUUAUGGGACAUGGAGAGGUAGACUUGGUGGGGGGACAGUCUUUGGACAUUUAAAGGUGGCUUGAGGUACUUGGAAGGGGGUUCCUGGAAGCAUCGGGGCCUGUGUGGAGGGGUGGGAGUGGCUUUAGGAGUAGAAAGAGUUCAUGUCUACAUGCUUUCAAUGGGAACUGAUAUAUUUUGGAGCAUAUCACCUGGCUCAAUUUAAAAAAAAAAUUUUUUUUUCAACAUUUAUUUAUUUUUUUUGGGACAGAGA